UUACAUAAAUAUACAUAUAAGAAUAAAAGGGGGGAGGGUUUGCAUCUAUCUCUAAAUAAUACUAGGUUUAAUCAUCACUCUUGCACCUAAUAAGAGAGUAUGUCACUUUGUCCUCUGACUUAGCUGGUUUUCCUGUUGAUGUCGCAGCUGGCUGUGUCCUGGCUUGAGGUUCUGCAGCUGGAGGUGGCGCUCUAGCGGAUAGAGGGACGCCGGUGAUAUAGUUCUUGUGGAGUCUCAAUCCCCAAAAUCUAAUAUCUGUAGUGGGCACAGUAGGGCGGGUGGCCGGCUACCGUGGGCACAAGGUUACUGCGGGCAGAGCUGAUCUGCCGUGGGCAGCGUAGUUGACAGGAUAUGUCCAGUGAGUUGCAGAGGGUUGGCGUAGCUAUGACGUCUCACACAGAUCUGAAUCUAUAGGGACGUCGCACCUAAUAGCUUGACAGGUGGGCUGUCGAAUAGGCGGGCAAUGCCGAUAGCGCCAAGUGGUAGAGUUGAGUAGAUCUCAGUAGGCAAGUGCAGUGCUGAAUAGCACUAAGCACAUAAAUAGGUAAAUAGGCAGGUAAAUAGAUCGUUGAUCCAAUAAAUAGGCAGGUAAAUAGAUCGUUGAUCCAAUAAAUAGGCAGACACCUGAGGGAGGCUGCGGAUAAAUAAAGACAAGUUAGGACAUGUCUCUCAUGCAUCUUAUCGAUGCCCUCGACUGAGGUGCAUUCGUCAGCUUGGUGAAAUUGCUUUUGAGCACAAAAGGGGAGAUGAUGACAAAUGGGAUUUGGAAAAAUAGAUGGCAGAUAGUAGCAAUAUAAAAAUGUACAUAAAAGGGAAAGUAAUAAUAUAAAAUGUACAUAGAAGGGGAAAUAAUAAUCUCAAAUAAACAACACAGGUGGAUAGAGAAAGAAAA